GGGCGAGUGGCGAAAUGGUAGACGCAGCAGACUCAAAAUCUGCCGCCCGCAAAGGCAUGAGAGUUCGAGUCUCUCCUCGCCCA
rnacentral:tRNA from 2 species